rnacentral:rRNA from 1 species
UACGUAGGAGGCAAGCGUUGUCCGGAAUUACUGGGCGUAAAGCGCGUGUAGGUGGUGGGACAAGUCUGCUGUGAAAGCGCCUGGCUUAACCGGGCGAGGUCGGCGGAAACUGUUCACUGGAGGACGGUAGAGGGGGUGGAAUUCCCGGUGUAGUGGUGAAAUGCGCAGAUAUCAGGAGGAACACCGGUGGCGAAGGCGGAUCUCUGGGCCGUAACUGACGCUGAGGAGCGAAAGCAUGGGGAGCGAACAGG